AGUGAACGCUGGCGGCGUGCUUAACACAUGCAAGUCGAACGAGAACGGGUUAUAGCUUGCUAUAAUUGUCAGCUAAGUGGCGCACGGGUGAGUAAUGUAUAGGUAAUAUGCCUCUUACUAAGGGAUAACAAAUGGAAACGUUUGCUAAUACCGUAUACUCCUUAUUAACAGAAGUUAAUAAGGGAAAGAUUUAUUGGUAAGAGAUUAGCCUGUAUUGUAUCAGUUAGUUGGUGGGGUAAUGGCUUACCAAGACUAUGACACAUAACUGGUUUGAGGGGAUGAUCAGUCACACUGGAACUGAGACACGGUCCAGACUCCUACGGGAGGCAGCAGUGGGGAAUAUUGCACAAUGGACGAAAGUCUGAUGCAGCAACGCCGCGUGGAGGAUGACACAUUUCGGUGCGUAAACUCCUUUUAUAUGAGAAGAUAAUGACGGUAUUAUAUGAAUAAGCACCGGCUAACUCCGUGCCAGCAGCCGCAGUAA
rnacentral:rRNA from 1 species